CUCCCGUUAGCUCAGGCGGUAGAGCAUUUGACUUUUAAUCAAAGGGUCGUAAGUUCGAUUCUUACACGGGAGACCA
rnacentral:tRNA from 2 species